UUUCCGUAGGUGAACCUGCGGAAGGAUCAUUAAAGUUAUAGUCCCCCGGCCCUCUAGGCUGGGGUCUUCUAUACCACCCCUUGUUUAUUACACCUUUGUUGCUUUGGCAGGCCUGCCCUCGGGCUGCUGGCUCCGGCCGGCUCGCGUCUGCCAGAGGACCUAAACUCUGUUUGUAUAUGAAGUCUGAGUACUAUAUAAUAGUUAAAACUUUCAACAACGGAUCUCUUGGUUCUG
rnacentral:misc_RNA from 1 species